CAUGGGUUGAAUUAUGUCCUUCCAGAAAGAUAUGCUGAAGUCCUAACCCCAGUACCUCAGAAUGUGACCUUAUGUGGAAAGAAAAUAUUUGCA